rnacentral:rRNA from 1 species
GCUUGUCUCAAAGAUUAAGCCAUGCAUGUCUAAGUAUAAACAAAUCUAUACUGUGAAACUGCGAAUGGCUCAUUAUAUCAGUUAUAGUUUAUUUGAUGGUUCUUGCUACUUGGAUAACCGUAGUAAUUCUAGAGCUAAUACAUGCGUCAAGUCCUGACUGCGCGAGCGGAAAGGAUGUGUUUAUUAGAUACAACCAAUGCGGGGCAACCCGGUAUAUGGUGAUUCAUAAUAACUUUCGGAUCGAUCUUCGGAUCGAUGCAUCAUUCAAGUUUCUGCCCUAUCAGCUUUGGAUGGUAGGGUAUUGGCCUACCAUGGCUUUAACGGGUAACGGAGAAUUAGGGUUCGAUUCCGGAGAGGGAGCCUGAGAAACGGCUACCACAUCCAAGGAAGGCAGCAGG